rnacentral:rRNA from 1 species
GUCUUAUUGAAAAUAAUUUUAAGUCAAUCUGCCCAAUGAAUAAAUUAAAUGGCUGCAGUAUAACUGACUGUACAAAGGUAGCAUAAUAAAUUGAUUUUUAAAUGAAAUCUGGAAUGAAAGGAUUAAUGAAAUAUAUACUGUCUCAUAUUUAUUUUAUGAAUUUAAAAUUUUAAUAAAAAUGUUAAAAUUUUUUUAUGGGACGAUAAGACCCUAUAGAAUUUUAUAUUAAUUUAAUUUUGUAUUAUAAAAUAUAAAAUUUAAUUUAAUAUUUAAUUGGGAGAAUUAUUAAAUUUAAUAAAUUUUAAUUUAAUAUAAACUUUAAUUUAAGAAAAUAUUUUGAUCUAUAAUUUAUAAUUAUUAGAUUAAAUUACCUUAGGGAUAACAGCGUAAUAUUUUUUUAUAGAUCACAUAGAAAAAAAUGAUUGCGACCUCGAUGUUGAAUUAAGAUAAAUUUUAAAUGUAGAAGUUUAAUAAUUAAGUCUGUUCGACUUUUAAAAUCUUACAUGAUUUGAGUUCAAAUCGACGUAAGU